CACCCCAGGAGGGGCCCUUGGGGGUGCUGAGCGAGGUCUGAAGGGGCUGGUUCCCCGGGCCCGUCUCCCCACCCCACCCCACCCCAGGGACAAAGCAGGGGAGCGCGGUGCAGGGCGGAGCCGUAAUGUGGGCGGGGCCCCAGGUAGCCCCUGCGGGGCGGAGCCGUGGUGUGGGCGGGGCCCCCAGGUAGUACCCCAGGGCAGGUGACCCUCACUACCCCUUCAGGAAGGCUGCGUGGGCAGAAGCUGCCCGGGUGGGCGCCCACUCCGGCUCUUCCAUAGCGAUGCUGCAGUAAUAGGAGGGCUUGUGGGACAGAGGCGGCACCUGGAAGCUUCCUGGGGCUGAGGCCUGGGGAGGCUGUGAGACCCGCUCUGGCCCCUCCCUGUUUUUCUCUAGUAGCUCAUUCUUCUUCCGGAAGGAUCAAAGCCCGGACAGAAGGGUUUUGUAUACACUGGGCCAGGUGAAGAGCCCAGUUAAUGUGCCCGCUGCCGACAGAACUGAGCAACUUUGCACCAGCUGUGAGCCAUCCGGGCUCUUGUAAUUUCCCAGGCACAGAAUCAGCCCUUUUCCUUCAGGCUCCAUGCUGGGUGUGGACUUGGGACUUGAACACACCACCCAACACAGAACUUGGACUUGACCUCAUCAAGAUUGGGAUGCUUAACUGACCAGCCACCCAGGAGCCCCUGCAUAAUGCUUUUAAAAGUUCAUGUUGUAACACGUGUCAGAACGUAAUUCCUUUUCUAUUUUAUUGUAUUUUAUUUACUUUAAAUUGUGACAUAACACACAUAAAAUUUACCAUCUUAAAAGUUGUAAGUACAUUAGCAUUGUUGUGCACUCAA